ensembl:lncRNA
CCCCGGGUCGCUGCCGAGCGCGCUCGGUGCUGGUACCCGGCCCGGGUGGGGAGGGGGCCGCGCUGAGGGAACGUGCCCGCAAAACAACGCGAAAACACGCCGAGUAACCGGCCCCCGGGGGCUGGAGGGGGAGCCGGAGCUUCAGGAGCAGCCAGGCCGAGCUGGGAGGCUUUCCGAAACGAGGGGCGGCAGCCUGCGCUGACGAUCGGAUAUUCUUAAAUAACCCCCGUGGAAAUAACGCGGCGCCCUGGCCGUGGCGCGAGUCCGCGUGCUGGGUGCCGGGCUAGCUGAAUGUUUUUUGUUUGCAAAGGCAGGGAGGGUUCUCGAGACGGUAACAAGGAGCCAAGUUCUGCGUUUUCGCACACCUGUUUGCACCGAGCCCGCCCCGCGUGCGUGGUCCGGCUGGAGCAGCGCGAGACUCGGCGCGUGAGGAGGCACAGCAGCAGCCUACCAGUAACCGCCGGAGCAAGGGUAAAAUCGUCAGGCUCAGAUGAAGACACACCUGAACUACCAAGUAGCGGCUCUCCUCUAACCGCCUCGGCCUCCGAAAUGUGGGAUUCCCAAUUCCGCUCCUCUUCCGUUCUGUUGAAACGGGUAGAUUGUUUUUUUUUUCCUGCUGGAACAAUGUGGUGUGAAAACGCUUCAGAGUGGCAGCAAAUGGUUCGUUUGUCGGGCACGUCCCUUCCUUUCCAAAAGUCACAGCUGUACGUACAGAUUUUCUCCAGCAUUUUUUACAAAGUUCUUUGGUGUUUUUUUUCUUCCAGCAGCAGAUGAUGUAAUUAAUUACAAUUGGUGGCAAAUCUGCAAGUUUUAGGGUAUACGUUUAAGUCAUCUGUGUCAUCAUCUGACGUCAGUAUUGCAUAAUCUGUUGACUGUCCCCUUUUUAUGUAAUGUAUGUUUGCAGUUUGUUUUAAAAUGUACAAAUAUUUUUUUCCACUGCGUGCUUCUCCUCAGAUAUUUCUUGCUUGUCUCACCAUUGCCCUCUUCCGUUAAAAACUUGUAAAACACCAUUUUGGUAGCUGGAUCCGUCUGAGCGUUACGCCUUUCUCUUUUAAAAACAACCUACUUAACAUCUCCAGACAUGCUCUUCCCCAGGUAAGUUAUUUAGAGCAGUAAACCACGUCUGGAGUUUUUGCUUCCUGCUGUUAGAAGUACCAGAGCAGCUUGUACUGAGGAAGUCCAUCGGCAUCAUAAAUUAACUUUUUAUAAUAACACGUUAACUUUUUCUGUGUAAAAAAAAAAAAAAGUGUUAUUUUUUAAACUUAAUUAUUUCAGAGGUCAACGUGAUUCCCUUAACCAGAGGUGUGUGCGUGUAGAAGUAGUUCCGUGAUCUUCUCAGCAAUACCUGUUUAAAAAAAACAGAAAAAGUGGGGUGCAAAAUACUGGUUGAUAUAAGUAUGACUUGCGGUAUAAGUUUUGAUUUCACAAUUGUGUGUUUGGAUCCUGUGACCUAAAAGUUCCAGUUGCGUACUUCAGCCCGCGGAGCCUUGAGGCACCCCUUCUGCCUCUUCCAGCUGCAGUCCCUCGUGAGCACAGCUGGCUGCUCGGCGUCCGGCGCUGCUCCCGUCGGGAGCCCCCUCGGUAGGCACAGGAGUGGGCGCCCGCGAUCCCGGCUCUCGCGGCGCAUGUGACAAACCCUGAUGAAGCCCAGCUGAACGCGUUCGCGGCGCUGUAAAAUUCCACCGCCUGCCAGAGUGCUCCGCUGCCUGGGCGAGCGCCUGGCGCGCUCGGUGCAGUAUGCAGCGCGGUCGCGGUGUGGUGCUGCCCUCUACUCGUGCUGGUCGUGAUCCCAGCCUUCGGCUGUCGCGCGCGCGGUGCAGCUCCGCCGACUUAACCUGGCUCGCGGCCACGUCUGCCUGCUGACUGUCUGGUUCAUGACAUUCGGUUCUUGAGUAGCGUAAACCAAGCGCUGCUCUCUAGCUCCGGUGAGUUUAACGGGGAGAAGGGGUGCCCUCAUUUUCUCCAGCGUUAACUGUAGAGGGGUAAGUUAACCUUUCUCCAUUACAUCCAGCAUUGACUAAUUGGAUUUUGAAGGCUGUUUUGGUCACCACGGUCAUUAAGAUAGCACUAAUUAUCUGAAUAAUUUUUUGAGCUGGAGUCCAACAUGCAAAGCCACUUCAGUUAAAUACUCCCGAGCCUCUCACCUGGCAGCUGGGCACCCGUUGAGGGCAGUUUGGGGCUCGGAGGCGUGCAAGGGAUGAGAAGACAGAGGAAGCACCUGGCAGUGCGUGGAGGGGCCGCGAUGACUGACAGGCUGCCCUGGCUCAGUUAUCACAGUGCUGAUGCUGUCUCUUGUAAAGGUACAGUACUGUGAUAACUGAAGGAUGGCAGCCAUCUGAGCUUCACGGGGCCCGCGCCCACCGCGCCCCAUCCCUUUGAUUCCAGGAGCUGACGGACAGACAUACACACAACGUCCUGCUCAAGUGUCCUUGUUCUAAACACACCUUGUCAUGUAAAAGUCACGGGUUAAGAAAACUUAAGAUUGACUCGAAUAAAAAUUGUGCUUUACUGGGAGUUUGCCUCUUA